GACGAACGCUGGCGGCGUGCUUAACACAUGCAAGUCGAACGGUGAAAGCGGAGCUUGCUCCGCUGGAUCAGUGGCGAACGGGUGAGUAACACGUGGGCAACCUGCCCCUCACUUCGGGAUAACUCCGGGAAACCGGGGCUAAUACCGGAUAACAUUUUGAACCGCAUGGUUCGAAAUUGAAAGGCGGCUUCGGCUGUCACUUAUGGAUGGACCCGCGUCGCAUUAGCUAGUUGGUGAGGUAACGGCUCACCAAGGCAACGAUGCGUAGCCGACCUGAGAGGGUGAUCGGCCACACUGGGACUGAGACACGGCCCAGACUCCUACGGGAGGCAGCAGUAGGGAAUCUUCCGCAAUGGACGAAAGCCUGACGGAGCAACGCCGCGUGAGUGAUGAAGGCUUUCGGGUCGUAAAACUCUGUUGUUAGGGAAGAACAAGUGCUAGUUGAAUAAGCUGACACCUUGACGGUACCUAACCAGAAAGCCACGGCUAACUACGUGCCAGCAGCCGCCGUAA
rnacentral:rRNA from 1 species